UCCCUGGUGGCUCAGAGGUUAAAGCAUCUGCCUGGAAUGCAGGAAGACCCGGGUUCGGUCCCUGGGUUGGGAA
rnacentral:tRNA from 1 species